UUCUUCAAUUCCGAAUUCAAUUUCAUCUUCGAUUUUGAAAUUGAUUUUCAACUUCGAUUUCGUAUUUCAUUCAUCUUCGAUUUUAUUUGAUUUCGUCUUUGAUUCUGUAUACGAAUUCAUCUUUCUGUAUUCAAUUUCAUCUUCAAUUUCGUAUUUGAUUUCAACUUCGAUUAUGUAUUUGUUUUCGCAUCUCCUUGCUUAUUUUUCUUUCACUUUGGUUUUAUACGUUGAAAAGAUGGUUGAGAUGAAGUGUGAGUUUUGUAUUGUGUUGGUUUUUGUUAUGAUUUUGCUUUUGUUGUGCUUCAUGGUAGAAUGUUUGUUUUGUGUUUGAUAAAAUGCUGCAACCAAACUUUAUGACACAAUGCCUGUUUUCUGUUUGAUAAAAUGCUUCAAUCAACCUUUAUGGUACAGUGCUUAAUGUUUGUCUGAUAAAAUGCUUGAACCAAAUUUUAUUUACUUCUCUAAUCUCAGAAAUGUGAUUCUCCUGCAUCUAUGCUCUUAAAAAUGUUUUUCGAUUCUGCAAAAUGAACAGAAUUGUUUCUUCGGAAUGCGAUUAUGUGUAAAUUUUAGAUUCGAUCUUAACUAAAAUGUUGGAAACUUAGGAUUGAAGAAAUGGAUAUUAGUUCCUCGAUGAUACAGAAGCCGGUCAGUUUCCCGUCACGCACAACCAAACUAUUGCUGCUUUAGCUCCGACAGUGGGUGGCUAUCAGAGCUAUUAGAAACCUGUAAUAGUGCAAAAGCAGACUUAAAGGUUUAGUUUUUAAUAAGAUAUUAAGCAGCGGACGGAAUAAUUUCCUCAUGAGUAUAUCUUCCCCACAGAGCAAAGCAUAGCACAUCAAGAGAAAAAAAGGCAGGGACAAGGUAAAAUUUGCUAGGUCAAUAACAAAAUGGUUUAAAGGGGACCUUAAUGGAGCACAAGAAUCUGCAAUUGGCUGCCGUUGUUAAGCUUUCAUUUGGUUAUUUCUACUUUGACAAUGAUUUCUUCACGUUUCCUUGUCUUUUUUGUGGAUUUAGUUUUCUCGUUCCUUUCUGACUCCCUGUGUUCGUAACUGGGGUUUUUUGUUGUGAAAUUUUCUCAGCUCUUGUUACAGCGGAUAUGAUAUACUGUGAUUUUAAAGCUGCAGCUAACCUUAAUAUUACGAACAUGCAGACCCUUGGAUUUUACGGUUCAUUUUCUUGCCUUGAAUGUACUUGUUCUGGAAAAUAGGUGUCCUUUGGCAUUCUAAUGUGUCAUUGUUUAGAAUUAUUAAACUAAAUAUUAGGAGAGCUUCAACAAUAUUUAUGAUUCUGUCCAUCUUUCUUGGAUAAUCAAGAGAUACACUUCUGUUUUGCAGAGGGCUAAAGUUUGGAUAUCUACAACGUUUGGAGAUACACUACUAGUCCAGAUAUAUCAAAGUCGUUCUUUACUGGUGAUGAGAUAAGGAAGGGAUGUCUGCAAUCUUGCUGGCAGAACAUUAUGAAGAUGAUUGCGGAUAAGCAACGACACAAGACAAAGGAGAUUAAAGAGAAGGCUUGCAUUUCUCAUGUGCAGCUUGAUGACCUUAAAGAGAAGGGGGGAAAUUGUUUUGGAUGAAAACUUAAUUGUAGUCAUUUUUGUAUGUAAUUCAAAUUUUGUUGUAUAGUUCAAAUUGUGUUGCAUAGUUUAUUUUCGUCAUGCAAGAAUAAGAACAGAGAAGAGGGGAACUUUUAUAGAGUAUGUAAUUCAAACUAGUUAUUAAAACUUGUAUCUAAUAUUGGUUAAUUCAAAUAUGAAUGAAGUCUAAGCAAA